CUUUGCUUUGCAGUCACUUCGAGGAAAUCUUACUAUAGAUGCUCUUUCUCUGAUCCUGGCUCCUAAUUAGCUAGAUAGCUUUCCUUCAGUUAACAAUGGCUCAUGAACUCUAUACUCUGCAAAUACUAGCCUUAAUCUUCUCAAUUGCAACUGUUGUUACUUGUUAGUCCCCUGAGUUUAAGCUAUCCUGUAGUUUUCAAUUUUGG
rnacentral:misc_RNA from 1 species